rnacentral:rRNA from 1 species
CCUACGGGAGGCAGCAGUAAGGAAUAUUGGUCAAUGGACGCAAGUCUGAACCAGCCAUGCCGCGUGGAGGAUGAAGGUCCUCUGGAUUGUAAACUUCUUUUAUUUGGGAAGAAACUCCCGAUUUCCAUCGGGAUUGACGGUACCAGAUGAAUAAGCACCGGCUAACUCCGUGCCAGCAGCCGCGGUAAUACGGAGGGUGCAAGCGUUAUUCGGAUUCACUGGGUCGUAAGGGUGCGGGUGUGGGCAGGUAUAACUCUCCGGGCUUAACCCGGUAACUGCCUUUGCUACUAUUUGUCUUGAAUACUCUGGAGGUGAGCGGAAUAUGUCAUGUAGCGGUGAAAUGCUUAGAUAUGACAUAGAACACCCAUUGCGAAGGCAGCUCACUACGGAAAUAUUGACGCUGAGGCACGAAAGCGUGGGGAUCAAACAGGAUUAGAUACCCCGGUAGUC